rnacentral:rRNA from 1 species
CUCGAGUAUAGCAGCCAGUACCGCAAACCGACACAGGUAGACGGGAUGAGUAUUCUAAGGCGCUCGGGUGAGCCGUGGAGAAGGAACUAGGCAAAUUGACGCUGUAACUUCGGGAUAAAGCGUACCGUCUUCGGACGGUCUCAGUAAAAUGGUUCAACCAACUGUUUAACAAAAACACAGGGCCCUGCAAAAUCGAAAGAUGACGUAUAGAGCCUGAUACCUGCCCGGUGCUGGAAGGUUAAGGAAGGGUGUUCGUCGCAAGACAAAGCUCCUGACUGAAGCCCCAGUAAACGGCGGCCGUAACAAUAACGGUCCUAAGGUAGCGAAAUUCCUUGUCGGGUAAAUUCCGACCUGCACGAAUGGUCUAAUGAGUUGAACGCUGUCUCCUCCACGAGCCCGGUGAAAUUGUAGUAUCGGUGAAGAUGCCGGUUACCCGCCACGGGACGGAAAGACCCCGUGAACCUUCACUACAACUUUGCAUUGAUUUUGAAUUACGGAUGUGUAGAAUAGUUGGGACGCUUUGAAGCAUUGCCGCCAGGUAGUGUGGAGCGGUCGUUGAAAUACCAACCUUCUUUGAUUUAGAGUCUAAUCCCUUGCGGGAAACAGUGCAUGGUGGGUAGUUUGACUGGGGUGGUCGCCUCCUAAAGAGUAACGGAGGCUUGCAAAGGUACCCUCAGUACGGUUGGUAAUCGUACGUAGAGCGCAUUAGUAUAAGGGUGCUUGACUGUGAGGCAUACAAGCCGAGCAGGGACGAAAGUCGGCUAAAGUGAUCCGGCGGUUCUGUAUGGAAGGGCCGUCGCUCAAAGGAUAAAAGGUACUCCGGAUAACAGGCUGAUCUCCCCCAAGAGCUCAUAUCGACGGGGAGGUUUGGCACCUCGAUGUCGGUUCGUCACAUCCUGGGGCUGGAGAAGGUCCCAAGGGUUCGGCUGUUCGCCGAUUAAAGUGGCACGUGAACUGGGUUCAGAACGUCGCAAGACAGUUCGGUCCCUAUCUGUGGUGGGCGCAAGUAAAUUGAGAGAACAUGACCUUAGUACGAGAGGACCGGGUCGUACGUACCGCUGGUGUAUCAGUUGUGCCGCCAGGUGCAAUGCUGAGUAGCUAUGUACGGACAGGAUAAACGCUGAAAGCAUCUAAGCGUGAAACCUAUCUCAAGAUGAAUUUACUUUUAAGGGUCGUCAGAGACUAUGACGUUGAUAGGCUAUAGGUGUAAAACUGGUAACAGUAAAGCCAAGUAGUACUAAUUGCCCGUACGCUUUAGUAA